AUGCGAAUUCUCGUUCUCUGGAUUGUUUGUGGAACUUGUCUGAUAGACUCGAGUCAUGGGGAUUCUGUUACUCAGACGGUGUCCUCAGAAGUGAAGACAGAAGGAGAGGAGGUGGCUUUCAGCUGCAGAUAUGAUACUACAGAGAGCAGCUACAGGUUAUAUUGGUACCGGCAACUGUCAGACUCAAGACCUGAGUUCAUACUGAGCAAACGUUCAGGUGGACGUGAAGAUAAAGCAGAUUUUGCCCAAAAUCGCUUCAGCGUCCAUCUCCAAACAGAAAGAAAAUUCACUCGUUUGACCAUCUCAUCGCUGCAACUGAGCGACUCAGCAGUUUAUUACUGCGCUUUAAGCCACACAGUGAUGUAAACCAGUUAAACCCUCGUACAUAA